rnacentral:rRNA from 1 species
GACGAACGCUGGCGGCGUGCUUAACACAUGCAAGUCGAACGGAAAGGCCCGGCUUUUGUUGGGUGCUCGAUUGGCGAACGGGUGAGUAACACGUGAGUAACCUGCCCUUGACUUUGGGGUAACUUCAGGGAACUGGGGCUAAUACCGGAUAGGAGCUCCUGCUGCAUGGUGGUGGUUAGAAAGUUUCGGCGGUGGGGGAUGGACUCGCGGCUUAUCAGCUUGUUGGUGGGGUAGUGGCGUACCAAGGCUUUGACGGGUAGCCGGCCUGAGAGGGUGAACGGCCACCAUGGGCCUGCGAGACGGCCCAGAAUGCUACGGGAGGCAGAAGGCGGGAAUAUUGCACAAUGGGGGGAAGCCUGAUGCAGAAACGCCCCGUGCGGGAUGAAGGCCUUUGGGGUGUAAACCGCUUUGGCAUGUGCCGAAGAGUGAGUGACGGUAAUGGGUAAAGAAGCACCGGCUAACUACGUG